rnacentral:rRNA from 1 species
AACGAUGAAGCUGGAGCUUGCUCCGGUGGAUUAGUGGCGAACGGGUGAGUAACACGUGAGAAAUCUGCCCUUGACUCUGGGAUAACUGCGGGAAACUGUAGCUAAUACCGGAUACUUUCCUCGGUGGGCAUCCACUGGGGAAGAAAGAAUUUCGGUCAAGGAUGAUCUCGCGGCCUAUCAGCUAGUUGGUGAGGUAAUGGCUCACCAAGGCGACGACGGGUAGCCGGCCUGAGAGGGUGACCGGCCACACUGGGACUGAGACACGGCCCAGACUCCUACGGGAGGCAGCAGUGGGGAAUAUUGCACAAUGGGCGCAAGCCUGAUGCAGCAACGCCGCGUGAGGGAUGAAGGCAUUCGGGUUGUAAACCUCUUUAGCAGGGAAGAAGCGAAAGUGACGGUACCUGCAGAAAAAGCACCGGCUAAACUACGUGCCAGCAGCCGCGGUAAAUACGUAGGGUGCAAGCGUUGUCCGGAAUUAUUGGGCGUAAAAGAGCUCGUAGGCGGUUUGUCACGUCUGCUGUGAAAUUCCGAGGCUCAACCUCGGACUUGCAGUGGGUACGGGCAGGCUAGAGUGCGGUAGGGGAGAUGGGAAUUCCUGGUGUAGCGGUGGAAUGCGCAGAUAUCAGGAGGAACACCAAUGGCGAAGGCACAUCUCUGGGCCGUAACUGACGCUGAGGAGCGAAAGCGUGGGGAGCGAACAGGAUUAGAUACCCUGGUAGUCCACGCCGUAAACGGUGGGUGCUAGCUGUGGGCCACAUUCCACGUGGUCCGUGACGAAGUUAACACAUUAAGCACCCCGCCUGGGGAGUACGGCCGCAAGGCUAAAACUCAAAGGAAUUGACGGGGGCCCGCACAAGCGGCGGAGCAUGCGGAUUAAUUCGAUGCAACGCGAAGAACCUUACCAAGGCUUGACAUAUAGAGGAAAAGUGCAGAAAUGUACUCCCCGCAAGGUCUCUAUACAGGUGGUGCAUGGUUGUCGUCAGCUCGUGUCGUGAGAUGUUGGGUUAAGUCCCGCAACGAGCGCAACCCUCGUCCUAUGUUGCCAGCACGUAAUGGUGGGAACUCAUGGGAUACUGCCGGGGUCAACUCGGAGGAAGGUGGGGAUGACGUCAAAUCAUCAUGCCCCUUAUGUCUUGGGCUUCACGCAUGCUACAAUGGCCGGUACAGAGGGCUGCAAUACCGUAAGGUGGAGCGAAUCCCAAAAAGCCGGUCUCAGUUCGGAUUGAGGUCUGCAACUCGACCUCAUGAAGUCGGAGUCGCUAGUAAUCGUAGAUCAGCA